GUGGCUGAUUUCAUUGGAGAUCCCUGUGUUCCCAUGGCCUUCUGGGGCCAACCAUGAAAUAGCUGAUUCAGCCACAAGGAACUGAACACAUCUCACUUCCUUUCCUUUUUCUCCUUCCUGUAGUUGUAUUUCAUAUGGAAUUUUGAUGAGCUUUAGGUGUAUCUGUGCAUUUAUGAUCCAAAGGUUAUAAAAACCAAUGAGAUACCAAAAGUACUACCAAUAGGAUAAUAUGUGGUGAGAAGAGGGUACCAAGGAGAAAAGGAAGCAAGAGAUAACAAAGAAAAGGGGGAAAGGGGAAUAAUAAGAAAAGAAGGAUGGAACUGAAAGGAAAAUGAAAGGAAGGAAAUGGCAAAUCUAAAGAAAGGGAAAAGAUCAAAGGAAAAAGGGCAGAUGGAGGAGAGAAAAAAGAGAAGAUGAAUGGGUGGGAUGGGGGAAGGUGAAGGAAAGGAAAAGCUGAGUAAGGAAUCAUGAAACAACUCUGGAGUGAUGGGUUUUGCAGGUGCAUCUCAGCAGGUUGCCUCUGAUCGGCUCUCUCAGGGACACAGCAUGUUACCUGGACUAAUUUAUAAAGGAAAUGAAAAGGAAAUGGACUUGUUAUAAUGAACACCAUUAAUUCACCUCUUCAGACUUCACUGUUUGAACAGAGAGUAUCAAACUACUCAAUUGUCAUUUGUCUAUUCCAUGCUUCACUGUUGCCUGUUGGAAAUGACUGGUGAGCACAUAUGCCUUGAAUGGCUGCGCAGCCACUAAUUAGCAUAUAUAUUGUUUGUCCUGGUACAAAUUUAUAGCAAACAGCAAUAUUUUACACUCCAGUAAAGUUAAUAAAUGAGGCUUUAGGCUAUAAAAAUUUCAUGUUCUUUUGUGCAAAGGUCAAUUAUAAAUAGUUAAGCACAUAUUCAUCCAAAACUCUGGGCUCUAGCACAGGAAGAAUAAAAUAUAUAUUGGUCAAUCCACGUGCCAGCUGGAUCAAUGCCUCUUGUGUUGCUGCUGAGACACCUCACUCCAAAUGGCCAUUCAGCUGUAGAAUGCUUUUGGCCAUGAGAUGAUGGAGGUCCCCUUGAAGCUUGGAGGAGGAAGAUGCUCUACAGUGCUGGAGGUGUGUUAGGAUCACACUGAGCCAGGCUAGGGGAGAAUUUAAUGAUCAAAGUUAUCUUCUAUGAGAAGAAGUUCUGGUGUUAGGAAGUCGGUUGCUUACACUCAACAGUGCCUCUGAUGCUAAGCACAAAAAACAGGGAGAAGCUCAAACUAAGGGACAUGAAUACCCUUCCAGACAGAAGGAAACCUGGACUUAAAAUUAUCUUUUAUUUGCAUUAUGGAAACACAGAGCUGCAUUGAGCUCAGCCUUAUAAAUAUUCAGAAGAGAAGUGGCCUGUAUCUUAAAGGGCAUCAUCUACAUAUGAGUGAUGAAGAGAGAGGUUCUGCGGUUAUGUGAGUUGUUACUAAUAUUAUUCCUUUAUAUUACACUUUCAACAUUAAGACUGCAUAUGUGAACACAGAUUAAGACAGACAUGUCUCCUCAGGACUGAGAACUUCUAAGGCAAGGAAUCAAUGAUGUGCAGAUGUAUCUUCUUCCAUUGCAGGUGGAGAGGAAACACAUGGGCAUUUCCUGCAACAGUCUUCUUGAGGUUGGAGGUAUUAAAUCACAAAUUUUCUUGAGGGAUCGUGCCAAAACUGGUCUGUGACAGUGCGACAAGGAAAUUCAAUCAGAGGACACUUGAGAUUAGAAAAAAAUGAGGGUAGAAUGCAAGAGUUUGGCUGCUGGAAAGAGGCACUGAACAGCAGCAUCUGAAGACUUGACACUGCAGGAGGUUAGGAAUGAAGAGGGCUGUAGCCCAGAUCACAGAGGAAGCGGUGUUAAACAAACUGUCAUCUAGCAUUUGUCAUCAGUGUUAACCUGGUAACCAGGCAACUGAGAGAGAUGUAAGAAGCUCACUGCAUCAUCCAGAGUGAAGGGAUGCAUUUGGAGGGGAUGAGAGAGCUUAAGAGCUCUGUGAUUCAUGGGAUCAGCAACUCAUCACCAGGGGUGGUUGGGCUGGCAACUCAGGACGCACACAAGAGACUUCAUAGGAUAGAUCAACAGCGAAGUAGGGAAAGGAUGGAAAUGAAGAGAAGAAAUCUGCACAAAUGGGAGCUGUAACAAAGAUCUGAAACUUCAGUUAUUGCUAUCACCAGGAACCUCUCUCUGAGCAAUUUCUGCAGUUGUACUAAAUGCAGUAUUUGCUUGGGUUUAAUACCCUCCCCCUCAAGGGCUGUGUGUCCCAUGCAUCUCCAUGAAGAUUUAUUUUCAUCUACAGGGCAUGUUCGUGCCAAGACGUCAGUCCUCCUCUGCCCAGGGACUGCAUCAAGCAUCAUCAGCUUUAACAGGGGAAGGAGAGCCACAGGACAGCAGUGAACUUCCAAACAGGGGCAGGUGGGGAUAUGGAGGAGUAAAGCCGCUGAGGACAGUUGACAACCAGUGACUUGCUUGUUUCUAUUGAGAGGACACCUCCUGGUUGAACUGGUUUCAUACUGGGAAUGGUUUGAAGGUCUUGUACAAGAAAGGUGAAGUUUGCCACGGAACAAAAAACUAUGUAGAGGAGAGAUGAAAUCAGGAAUGCUUGGCAUGUGGAGAGACAUGAAAGGGGAGAUGCACAUACCCUGUGAAUUUGUUCCCCUGCAUUUUUUCUGCUAAACAUUAUGGGAACUCUGCUGAAGCAGGCAAUCCAGUAGAGAGUGGUAACAAGAUUGGAAAGAAGAAGCAGCCACCCAAGGUCAGCAGAAGCCUUUGGAUGCCAGUGCCAGGAUGGCUCAGCAAAGGUCACCACAAAUGGACAGAGAUGUCUUUUCUGCCAAAGGCUGUUUAGCAUGUGAAACAGGUGGGCUGGAGUCGUCAGGGGAGAUCCAAGGAUGCACCUGGCACCCAGUGAGGCGAGGGAUGCUGAUGUCUGCACUUGGUCAGAAGGAGACAAAGCUCAGCAAAGACAGUGCAGCUGUGACUGUCGUGUUGUCUUUGCUUCGUUUACAGUGCCUGUUAAUUACACAAGGUCUGUUCAGGGAACAGCCCUCCUUCUGUCCUGCUUCUGUAUAUGCUGGUUUGGCUGUGUUUUCCUCCAGACCUCAGUCCCGGGAUUGGGAGGAACCUAUUAGCUGACUUUUUGCCUCAGAGGGGACCUAAGUCAUGCACAGGAUGUCCAAGGAGCUGGAUGCCACUCGGCUGGUCCUGCCCUUUCUCCUUUUUUCCUCUUUAUGUGUCCAGUGACCAGUUCUCAUUUCUGCUUCUAGUUGUGUAAUACCCCUACUCUAAAUUGAGCUGUGAAACAACUUCAUUUUGUCUCAAUUCAUACAGGAAAAGAGGAAAAAGUAAUUUCAGAUAUAGCUGCUAGAAACCUGGAUUCUGCAUACUGUAUAUAGUUCCGGAUUUGCCUUUCAAAGGUUUGGAAUUACUAGUGCCAGAGGGAAAACAAUUCAGAAGUUUAAGACACAGACCUUUGGUUAGUCCCUCUAACUCGAGAGGUUGUAUUUGUUAGACAGCAGUGUGCUGGUUACAAGCUCACUUAGAAAAUGUCUACACAGCUGUUUUCAGACUCCUGGGAUUUUAAAACAUUUAAAUAAAGUUUGCUGAAGGCUUUGAGUACAGCCUGGAUUUUGCUGUAUUGAGAGCAAAUGCUGCAUUCCCCCACCUGUGAACAGAACCCAGUCUGGAGAUGCUGUGCUUGAGCAAAACUGACAAACAUUGUAAAAGUACAUCUUCAUAUGGAAGUCAGCAGAAGUCCUGUCAGGCUGCAAUCCAAGCAAAAUGAGUGGAAAUCUGACUGAAGAAAUCCAGGAGAAAUGGGUGUAGUUAUAUCUUGCAUUAUGAAGAGUUCUGGAUGAGGGUGGACGCUAAUGGAGAAGAAAACAAUGGAAGCAUCCUUUAGUGAGACAAAGCCAUAGAUGAAAAAAGAAGAGCAGCAUCAAGGGAAUCAAUCUCUUGGGACGUCCUGUGGUCUGAAUGUACAUCUUGUAUUGCUGAGAUAGGAGCUGGGGAUGCGGUGUGUAAAGAUGUGAAUUUUACAAGGAAAAAGAAUCAUCCAGGAGACCUCUGGGAAAUCACAGAAUGUGUGUACACCUCAUGCACUGUUCUGCUUGGCCAGAUGAGCCACUGUUCUGCUCCAAUGCCUUGCACCGAGGGAAGUCACAUCCCAUGAGAGAGCUGACUCUUUUUGGAGCCAUCACCUCAUUUCCUAUGCUGUGUGAUGCCUUCAGCCUCAGCCAUGGGGAAUGUGAUGCGCACCAGUGUUGACAGACUGGCCGGAAGACUGAGGUGUGAGACAAACCCAUGAGCUUCACACAGCCCAGCCGGAUCUAGACCAGCACGUGUGCAUCUUUGAGACCUCGUGACUUCAGAUCCCCUUGGCACGUCCUGUCCUAAAUGGCUCGGAGCACUCUGCAAAACCAUCAAAGCUGAACUCCUUUUUCCCGUUUCGACAAGUCUGUGUUCUAGAUGAGAUGAAUGACAGGUAUUCAAAACCAGACUUAAUGGACUGGUGUUGUUCGUUAUUGAGCCAAAGCUGCUAAGAGGGAAGGGUCAGUGACAGGAUUGGUUUGGGGAGUAAAAGAGUCCUCCCUGUGCAGCGAG
rnacentral:lncRNA from 1 species